rnacentral:rRNA from 1 species
GAUGAACGCUGGCGGCGUGCCUAAUACAUGCAAGUCGAGCGAACGGACGAGGAGCUUGCGUCUCUGAUGUUAGCGGCGGACGGGUGAGUAACACGUGGAUACCCUACCUAUCAGACUGGGAUAACUUCGGGAAACCGUAGCUAAUACCGGAUAAUAUUUUGAACCGCAUGGUGCAAAAGUGAAAGACGGUCGUGCUGUCACUAAUAGAUGGAUCCGCGCUGCAUUAGCUGGUUGGGAAGGUAACGGCUUACCAAGGCAACGAUGCAUAGCCGACCUGAGAGGCUGAUCGGCCACACUGGAACGGAGCCACGGUCCUGGCUCCUACGGGAGGCACCAGUCGCGAACGUUCCGCAGUGGGCGAAAGCAUGACGGAGCAACGCCGCGUGAGUGAUGAAGGCCCUCGGAUCGUAAUACUCUCUUAUUAGGGAAGAACAUAUGUGUAAGUAACUGUGCACAUCUUGACGGUACCUAGUCAGAAAGCCCCGGCUAACUACGUG